UACGAAGGGGGCUAGCGUUGUUCGGAUUUACUGGGCGUAAAGCGCACGUAGGCGGAUUGUUAAGUCGGGGGUGAAAUCCUGGAGCUCAACUCCAGAAUUGCCUUCGAUACUGGCUUUCUAGAGGCUGGAAGAGGUUAGUGGAAUUCCCAGCGUAGAGGUGAAAUUCGUAGAUAUUGGGAAGAACACCAGUGGCGAAGGCGGCUAACUGGUCCAGAUCUGACGCUGAGGUGCGAAAGCGUGGGGAGCAAACAGG
rnacentral:rRNA from 1 species